rnacentral:rRNA from 1 species
UGAAUACGAGACGCUAAGGCGUCGAAGUAGUGUAUGUCAUACUUCCAAGAAAAGCUUGCACUGUCAUAGAUAAAAAACGCCUGUACCAUAACCGACACAGGUGGGUAGGUAGAGUAUACUAAGGGGCGCGAGAUAACUCUCUCUAAGGAACUCGGCAAAAUAACUCCGUAACUUCGGGAGAAGGAGUGCCUUAUUAUUAAGGUUGCAAUAACAAGAUCCAAGCAACUGUUUAUCAAAAACACGGGUCUCCGCUAAGUCGUAAGACGAUGUAUGGGGGCUGACGCCUGCCCAGUGCCAGAAGGUUAAAGAAGCUGGUUAGCAUUUGCGAAGCUAGUAACUGAAGCCCUGGUGAACGGCGGCCGUAACAAUAACGGUCCUAAGGUAGCGAAAUUCCUUGUCGGGUAAGUUCCGACCCGCACGAAAGGCGUAAUGAUUUGGAUACUGUCUCGGAGAGGGGCUCGGUGAAAUAGACUUGUCUGUGAAGAUGCGGACUACCUGCACCAGGACAGAAAGACCCUAUGAAGCUUUACUGUAACUUGAAAUUGAAAUUGGACUUUAUUCGCGCAGUAUAGGUGGGAGGCGUUGAUUAUAAUCUUGCGGGAUUAUUGGAGCCAUUAGUGAGAUACCACUCUUGUAAUGUUAGAUUUCUAACUUUGAAUCAUUAUCUGGUCAAAGAACAGUUUCAGGCGGGCAGUUUGACUGGGGCGGUCGCCUCCUAAACGGUAACGGAGGCGUACAAAGGUUUCCUCUGAACGGUUAGAAAUCGUAUCUAGAGUGUAAAGGCAUAAGGAAGCUUGACUGUGAGACCUACAAGUCGAGCAGGGACGAAAGUCGGUCUUAGUGAUCUGACGGUACUGAGUGGAAAGGCCGUCACUCAACGGAUAAAAGUUACUCUAGGAUAACAGGCUGAUCUCCCCCAAGAGUUCACAUCGACGGGGAGGUUUGGCACCUCGAUGUCGGCUCAUCGCAUCCUGGGGCGGUAGUACGUCCCAAGGGUUGGGCUGUUCGCCCAUGAAAGCGGUACGCGAGCUGGGUUCAGAACGUCGUGAGACAAUUCGGUCCAUAUCCGGUGUAGGCGUUAGAAUAUUGAGAGGAGCCUUCUUUAGUACGAGAGGACCGAGAAGGACAUACCUCUGGUGUACCAGUUAUCGUGCCAACGGUAGACGCUGGGUAGCUAUGUAUGGAGUGGAUAACCGCUGAAAGCAUCUAAGUGGGAAGCCCACCUCAAGAUAAGUAUUCUC